rnacentral:rRNA from 1 species
CCUACGGGUGGCUGCAGUGAGGAAUAUUGGUCAAUGGCCGGAAGGCUGAACCAGCCAUGCCGCGUGAAGGUCAGUGCCCUAUGGGCGUUAAACUUCUUUUGUGCGGGAGCAAUAAUGGUCACGUGUGGCCAGACGAGAGUACCGUACGAAUAAGCAGCGGCUAACACCGUGCCAGAAGCCGCGGUAAUACGGGGGAUGAAAGCGUUAUCCGGAUUUAUUGGGUUUAAAGGGUGCGUAGGGUGGGAGGUAAGUCAGCGGUGAAAUGUCCCCGCUCAACGGGGUGAAGUGCCAUUGAUACUGGCAUGCUGGAGUGCAGAUGCGGUAGGAGGAAUGUGUGGUGUAGCGGUGAAAUGCAUAGAUAUCA